rnacentral:tRNA from 1 species
UGUUGGAUGGUGCAAUGGUAAGCAUUUCAGAAUUUGAAUCUGAAGAUGUUGGUUCGAAUCCAGCUCCGACAA